CUACGGGUCGCACCAGUGGGGAAUAUUGGACAAUGGGGGAAACCCUGAUCCAGCAAUGCCGCGUGUGUGAAGAAGGCCUGCGGGUUGUAAAGCACUUUCGGUUGGGAGGACUGCUUCUAGCACUAAUAUUGUUGGAAGUUGACGUUACCUUCAGAAGAAGCACCGGCUAACUCCGUGCCAGCAGCCGCGGUAAUACGGAGGGUGCAAGCGUUAAUCGGAAUUACUGGGCGUAAAGCGCGCGUAGGCGGCUAGAUCAGUCGGGGGUGAAAGCCCCGGGCUUAACCUGGGAACUGCAUCCGAUACUGUCUAGCUUGAGUACAGGAGAGGAGAGUGGAAUUCCACAUGUAGCGGUGAAAUGCGUAGAUAUGUGGAGGAACACCAAUGGCGAAGGCAGCUCUCUGGCCUGAUACUGACGCUGAGGUGCGAAAGCGUGGGGGGCAAACAGGAUUAGAUACCCCUGUAGUC
rnacentral:rRNA from 1 species